UACGAAGGGGGCUAGCGUUGCUCGGAAUCACUGGGCGUAAAGCGCACGUAGGCGGCUCUUUAAGUCAGGGGUGAAAUCCUGGAGCUCAACUCCAGAACUGCCCUUGAUACUGAGGAGCUUGAGUCCGGGAGAGGUGAGUGGAACUGCGAGUGUAGAGGUGAAAUUCGUAGAUAUUCGCAAGAACACCAGUGGCGAAGGCGGCUCACUGGUCCGGUACUGACGCUGAGGUGCGAAAGCGUGGGGAGCAAACAGG
rnacentral:rRNA from 1 species